rnacentral:rRNA from 1 species
GAUGAACGCUGGCGGCGUGCCUAAUACAUGCAAGUCGAGCGAACGGACGAGAAGCUUGCUUCUCUGAUGUUAGCGGCGGACGGGUGAGUAACACGUGGAUAACCUACCUAUAAGACUGGGAUAACUUCGGGAAACCGGAGCUAAUACCGGAUAAUAUUUUGAACCGCAUGGUUCAAUAGUGAAAGACGGUCUUGCUGUCACUUAUAGAUGGAUCCGCGCUGCAUUAGCUAGUUGGUAAGGUAACGGCUUACCAAGGCAACGAUGCAUAGCCGACCUGAGAGGGGGAUCGGCAACCUGGGAACUAGGACACGGUCCAGACUCUUAGGGGAGGAAGAGGUAGGGAAUCUCCGGCAAUGGGCGAAAGCCUGACGGAGAAACGCCGGGUGAGGGAUGAAGGUUUUGGGAUCGUAAACCCUUGUUAUUAGGGAAAACCAUAUGUGAAAGUACCUGUCACGACCUGGAGGGUACUUAACAAGAAAGCACCGGCUACCUCCGU